rnacentral:rRNA from 1 species
GACGAACGCUGGCGGCGUGCUUAACACAUGCAAGUCGAACGGAAAGGCCCUGCUUUUGUGGGGUGCUCGAGUGGCGAACGGGUGAGUAACACGUGAGUAACCUGCCCUUGACUUUGGGAUAACUUCAGGAAACUGGGGCUAAUACCGGAUAGGAGCUCCUGCUGCAUGGUGGGGGUUGGAAAGUUUCGGCGGUUGGGGAUGGACUCGCGGCUUAUCAGCUUGUUGGUGGGGUAGUGGCUUACCAAGGCUUUGACGGGUAGCCGGCCUGGGAGGGUGACCGGGCACAUUGGGACUGAGAGACGGCCCAGACGCCUACGGGAGGCAGCAGUGGGGAAUAUUGCACAAUGGGCGGAAGCCUGAUGCAGCAACGCCGCGUGCGGGAUAACGGCCUUCGGGUUGUAAACCGCUGUCGCCUGUGACGAAGCGUGAUUGACGGUAAUGGGUAAAGAAGCACCGGCUAACUACGUG